rnacentral:rRNA from 1 species
AACGAACGCUGGCGGCAUGCCUAACACAUGCAAGUCGAACGAGAACUUCGGGUCUAGUGGCGCACGGGUGCGAAACGCGUGGGAACCUGCCCUUGGGGUCUGAAUAACUCCCCGACAGGGGUGCUAAUACCGGAUAAUGUCUUCGGACAAAAAAUUUAUCGCCUUUGGAUGGGCCCGCGUAGGAUUAGCUAGUUGGCAGGGUAACGGCCUACCAAGGCGACGAUCGAUAGCUGAUCUGAGAGGAUGACCGGCCACACUGGGACUGAGACACGGCCCAGACUCCUACGGGAGGCAGCAGUGGGGAAUAUUGCACAAUGGGGGAAAGCCUGAUGCAGCGACGCCGCGUGAGUGAAGAAGUACUUAGGGAUGUAAAGCUCUAUUAGCAGGGAAGAAAAUGACGGUACCUGAGUAAGAAGCCCCGGCUAACUACGUG